CAUCGUCGUGUUUUUCGUCAUAGUCGUCUUAGGGAUUCUGAGGGAUGUGUUUUUUGGACAUUUACUGCGUGCCCAUUUCCUGAGCCGUUCUGAGAGUUCCCAAUCUCUGACCACAAACAUCGCCUUCGUCGCCUGUAACGGUCUGGGCCUCAUCUUCUCACUUCUCAUCAUCCCAACAUUGUGCUGCUGGUGUAAACCGAGAAAGCGUCUGAUGGUCAUCCACAUGAACGCAGCUGACGUCGUGGAUCAUCCGCGUCCAGAAUCUUCCCCGCCGGCCUAUAGUCCGGUCCCGUCUUCAGAUCCGC
rnacentral:lncRNA from 1 species